CGGGGCGUAGCGCAGUGGGAGCGCACUCGUUUGGGGUGCGAGUGGUCGGCGGUUCGAGUCCGCCCGCCCCGACCA
rnacentral:tRNA from 1 species